rnacentral:sRNA from 12 species
GAUCAUUGCGAUUAAGGUUUCAAUGACAGACUUAUCCAAACAAAAUAAAGGAUUCAAGCGAACCUAAUUCUCUCACCCUUGAGGUGUAAACACAUUAACAAGG